CCUACGGGAGGCAGCAGUGGGGAAUUUUCCGCAAUGGGCGAAAGCCUGACGGAGCAACGCCGCGUGAGGGAUGAAGGCCUCUGGGCUGUAAACCUCUUUUAUCAAGGAAGAAGAUCUGACGGUACUUGAUGAAUAAGCCACGGCUAAUUCCGUGCCAGCAGCCGCGGUAAUACGGGAGUGGCAAGCGUUAUCCGGAAUUAUUGGGCGUAAAGCGUCCGCAGGCGGUCUGUCAAGUCUGCUGUUAAAGCGUGGAGCUUAACUCCAUUUCGGCAGUGGAAACUGACAGACUAGAGUGUGGUAGGGGCAGAGGGAAUUCCCGGUGUAGCGGUGAAAUGCGUAGAUAUCGGGAAGAACACCAGUGGCGAAGGCGCUCUGCUGGGCCAUAACUGACGCUCAUGGACGAAAGCCAAGGGAGCGAAAGGGAUUAGAUACCCCUGUAGUCCUGGCCGUAAACGAUGAACACUAGGUGUCGGGGGAAUCGACCCCCUCGGUGUCGUAGCCAACGCGUUAAGUGUUCCGCCUGGGGAGUACGCACGCAAGUGUGAAACUCAAAGGAAUUGACGG
rnacentral:rRNA from 1 species